rnacentral:tRNA from 1 species
GGGGCUGUAGCUCAGUGGUAGAGCACUUGCCUAGCAUGUGUGAGGCAUUGGGUUCAAUCCUCAGCACCA